ensembl:lncRNA
CCUGUACCUACUAAAUAAUUAUUUCGUAUCCUCCCCCUACUUAUCCCCUACAAAACACCAAUUUGCUUUCUGUCUCUAUGGAUUUGCCUAUUUUGAGUAAUUCAUAUAAAUAGAACCAUACAAUAUGUGGACUUUUGGGUCUGGCUUCUUCCACUUAGCAUAUUGUUUCAAAGUUUAAUCCAUAUCAUAGCAUGGCUAAAAAUAUCUUAUUAUAUGUAUCUGUCACAAUUAGUUUAUUUAUUCAUUGAUAGACACUAUGUUGUUUCCAUCUUUUAGUUCUUGUAAAUUGUGCUGCCAGGAGCAUGUGUAUAUGUGUAUUUGAGUAUCUGUUUUCAGUUCUGUUGGAUAUAUACCUACAAGCGGAAUUGCUGGGUCAUAUGGUAAUUCUAUGUUUAGCUUCUUGAAAACCUGCCAAACUCGUUCCCAUAGUGGCUGAACCAUUUUCCGUGAAAAAUACAAUUUCGAGGAUAGAAAAUUAUAUAGUGUGAUGUUUGUGCACACAAAAGAAUGCCCUUUGACAGUUUGGUAACAACUGUUGUGCAACAGUUGUCAUUUAUGUGCAUUCUCCAUUUACAGGUGAGAACUCUGACACAUCCAGAUUUUGUAAGCUGCAUAGAAUGAAUUUCACAGGAUGCAUCCAAUUCAUGGGCUCUUACAAGAUUGUAUCAAUACCUACAGCUCUGACCUCUGGGUUGAAAAUUUUGAAGAAGCAGUUACUGGGUCCAGAGGUUCUCUUGUAAGUAUUGUAUCUCCAUUAGUUAAUCUCCCAUUAUUCUUUUUCAUCCCUCCCAUAAGCAAGCUGAUUAUUUUCCUAAAUGUGGAUUUUCAAAGACAAAGCAAUAGCUUUGACAUUUGUAUCAUGCCUAUUUUUAUUAAAUAGUGAUUUGUGUAAAAUGUACACGUAAUUGUAGAACUGACUAAUGGGUGCAGAGUAUAGCACUUGUAACACACAACAUUAUAUAUAUUUCUCAAUAAUUGAUGCAUUAGUCACCUUUCCUUCCCUGAAAAAUCAUUUAUGCAUAUUAGUUUUCUGGCCACUACAAUCCCUUGGAAUUAGCUUUUUGUUAAUCUACUGGGAAAGCAAUCAGCAACCACAGUGAUGAUAAAAGUAAACAAUGGAAGCACCAAUUGUGUUGACAAUGGGAGCACCAAGAAGAGUCACCCUACUCAAGAGAUCAUAGAGAAAAUGAUUAUUUUUCUUUAUGGACAAAAUUGCUUCACAAAAGAUCUGUAGAUGGGCUAUCCAUUUAAAGAGCAUAAUUUGGGGUUUUAAGAUAUAUUCUAUAGGCUUUUCUAUGGAAGAGUAUUUUGGGUUGUUUUUCACCCCAGGUAGUACAUUAUGAAACAUUCUCACACUGAUGUUAUUUUAUAACUUUGUUAAAAAGGGGGAAUAAGUGAAAGAACUUAUCUUAGAGUUGUGGGAAGCCAUAAGGAUACUUAACAUAUCCUUUCAUCUGGCUUCUGGCUGGUGAGAAAUGUUCUUCCAGGAUGCCUUUAGACACAGGAGAGUAGAAAUAACCACUUAAAGGUUGGUGCUUCAGUGCCUUGUUUCACUCUAACCUCCAUUCUUACAGACUUGGUUGUAUUUUUGGAAAUACUUUAAGAAAAUUACAACGAAAUCUAAGAUGCCUUUCCUUGUGGAAGAUACAUGAAUUUACUGUAUCUGUUUUGCUCAUGAAUUACCCCUGUAGCCUUACAAAUAUGAUAAAGAAAUCUAUUCACAUUCAUGUUUUGGCUAUUUAGGAUAGUUUUCAACAUGUAAACGGAAGUAUAAGACUAAUAAAAUAUACUAAUAUCACAUUGCAACUGAAAUACAAAUUUGUGGUUUAUUUCCCUCCAAAUCUUUGCAUAUAGAUGAAGACGUAACUAAGUCUACUUCUCUCUUGAAAAGUUUGCUAUUGCUUCCUAAUAAUUCUCUAAUUGAUUUGUGUGAGGUCUUUUGUUGGUUGGCUAUUUGUGUUUUUUCUGUUAUGUGAAAUAGUUCCUGCCAUUUCUUUUCUUUGGCAACCCUGAAAAAGCUGAAAGAAGCUGAUCAUUGCUAAUGUAUUGAACAUCUUUUGAAAUCCUAGUGACUACAACCACCAAAAGAAUGGACACAUGUGCUAUCUGGAUGAGCACUUCCUCCUGACUCCUUAACAAAAACCUCCCUGAAAGGUUGAUAAGCAAACAGGCUUCACAACAGAAGGGCAGCUCAUUCCCCAGAGGAACUGACGGAAGCCAUACACCCAACACAGGAAAAGAAAGCAGGACAUGGGUGAUUCUGAGAAAGGUGCAGCUUUCCAGGACAGACAGGAAACUGACAUAUGGCAAUUGAAUCAAAGGGGAUCGUCAAGUCUCUGUUCAAUUGUUUGAGUCACAAAGUCUCCAAUCCUUCAGCAACAUGGUACUUUGACCAUGGCUUGAGCAAAACCAAAGUUAUAGGUGAUGGUUAUGGUGAUGAAUAAAAGAGCAGUGCACAGUGAAUAUGAAGAAUAAAUUCGACUUUGAUUUUAGUUCAGGGGUGUAGAUAGAUAUUUUGUUCGGGAUUUGUAACUUGGAUUUUGGGAGAUUGCUUUCCAUGAAGAUUUUGAAUCCUCAUAGAUAAUAUAUUAAUUUAGAGUAGAAUAGAGAUGAAUUCAAAUGAAGGGUGAGAGAAGUUGUACUUUGAGGAAUAAGAAAAUAGGUAUAAAAACAUUUAGUGAAUUUUUAAAUCAUGCUAUAGACAAUCAUCAUUAUGAUCCUACUUAGGAAAGUCAGAGUCACGAAGCUCUGGAUUUAGUUUUUCUGUACUCUGUUGCAAAGGGAAUUCUUUGGUAGAGAAAAUAGAUAGAAGCCUGUCA